CACACACAUACACACAAACUAGCUGAACAGCUUUGGUUGUUACCACUGCUGCAUGGUUUGGCUGCAACUGAAGUCUGGAGGGGGGGCUAAUGUUUAGUGCUGGUCAGUCUGGGAUUGCUCUGUCGUUCAGAGCUGUGAAUAGCAUUGGAGGGAUAACAGGCAUCUGAACAUCUGAACUUGGAUAGUACCUAUGUGACUAGUAUGUGAGCUGUGUUCUCGAGGGAGCCUACAGCUGUUCAGUGUUUCUGUUCGCUGAUCUAAAGGAGCUCUGUUUCAGACACUUUUCCGAGGAGGACCACUGAGAGCAAUGAGUUCCACUCUCCCACGUGAGUGGAGGGACUACAGCCACCUCUGCUCCUGUGCAGAGUGAACUUCUCAGAGUUGUUACGACCUUUGACCUUGACCCUGCGGGACCUGUGCUGCUCAGGAGUAGCCCAUGGGAGCCUCGGUGAUUUGACCCUGCCGUGUGUAAAUCUGCAGGAGGUUUGUACCCAGUGUGAGCUGCAGACAUGAGCGACAUGCAGCCCGUGGAGGGUCCGAUGGGCCCUUCAGAGGGCGCCCAGCACGGCAUGACACUGGCCUUGCGGGACGGAGACCAAAAUGGGAAUGCCUUUGCGGAGUCUUCCUCCUCUUCCUCUUGCUCCCCGUCCUGCCAGAGCGAGUCGUCUCCAGACUCCGUGCGCAGCUCCAGCAGUCUGAGCAGUGGUCGCUCUGACAGUCCCCUGGAUGUUGACAUGCAAGAAUGCACUGAGAGACAGAAGCUCCUAGCUGGCAGCAGUGGCCAUAUUGAGAUCCCCAAAGAAACGCCAGUGCUGGAUCCUGACAACGUGGUUCAGCAGUGUGACUGCUCUGAGUCCAAUGAGAUCUCCGUUUCUGUGUACCUGGAUGCCCGUGACCAUGACGACGACAACACCUGGAACAACAAUGAGAACCUUGCUCUGGUGUUCAUCCAGGAAGACACCCACGGUGACCACGGUGAUAUCCAUGGAAAUCACUAUGGCAACCAGAACGGCAGUCGCAGACGUUACUCUGAGGACUCACCGGCCCCUCUGUGCUCCUCGGAGAAUGACGAUAUUGAUGAUGAUGAUGAUGAUGAUGAAGAUGGCGAUCAGGAGGACUUGUUCCUGUCAGUGAGUUCAGGAGACAUGGUUAUGAGGAGCGUCACCAUCAGCCUGGACGGCUCAGAGCGAGCCCUCAGCAGUGUGUCCGUCCUGGCCGACUCGUCCACCUCCUCCUCCGACGACCACGAGCCCCUGUCCUCACACUCACCCCCACUCACAGAGAAGACCCAGGGUCUGGGAUCAUCUAGUCUCACCACCCCUGCCUGUCCUGAAGGUCUAGCUCUCACAGAGGAUCCGCAGCAGGAGCCUGUGGAUGCUGCUGCUGAGGUGUGCAUGGUGGAUGGGACGGAGAAGGAGAAGGAGAAGGAGGGGGAGGAGGCAGAUGGGGAGGUCCAGGAAGGGACAGCCAAACUCUGUUCCGCCUCAGUAAUGAAUGAAACAAAGGUGGAGGUCCCCAGUGUGCAGGUGAAAGACACCCCUGAGGUCCAGACCUCCACCCCAGUUGUUGCUGUCCAUAAGGCCAAGGCGCAAACUGCAGUGGCUCGGGCCAAACCGGCUUGCCGUGCCACCAAAGCGACGGCAUCUAAGCCUGGCAAGAACGUUGUCAAGAGGUUUCCCAAGCCAGACCUGAAGAAUGUGAAAUCCAAGAUAAUGUCUCUGCCUUCAUCUGCAACAAAAGUGACCAGGAGUGACCAGCAGGCUCGAGGGAAAAACGUUGUUAGCCAGCUAUCUCCAUGCAACGAGAAGAAGCUUCCUGCCACAGCACUCAGACCUGCCCAGAACAAACAGGAAGGACCAGGAGGUGGCGUGAGGAGGCGAUCCUCUUCCUGCCAGGCAAGAGUGGCUGCACCCAAACCAGCUGUGGCCCGCUGGUCCAACCAGAACUCACGAGCAGCUCCACAGCGGACCAGGAGGAAGGCCUUGCUGCUUAACGGCGUCCGACGGAGUUCAGAGGUCAUCUCCAGUGACGACCCCAGAGACAUGGGACUCGUGGAGGAGCCCGUGCCCCAUCCAGAGGAUCAGGAGGAGCGAGCGGAGGGAGCUGGAGAAGCUGCUUCCCCUGAGCGCACUGACGGCCCUGAUUCUGCUGCAGACGCAGCAGUGAAGGAGCAGUCAUCAGAGCUGCAGGGAGAUGGUGACCAGACCGUCUCCUCCAAGCUGGGGCCCAAGACCGGCCUGCCCACCGCCGUUGCCUCCGUCGCCGCUGCCAGGGGUGCCUCUACCA
ensembl:lncRNA